rnacentral:rRNA from 1 species
GCCUUGUACACACCGCCCGUCACACCAUGGGAGUUUGUAACGCCCAAAGUCGGUGGCCUAACCAGUAUGGAGGGAGCCGCCUAAGGCGGGACAGAUGACUNGGGUGAAGUCGUAACAAGGUAGCCGUAGGAGAACCUGCGGCUGGAUCACCUCCUUUCUAAGGAA